GAUUGGCGGCGGCGGUGGAAGCUAGUCUCUUACUCCACGCGUCUUACCACUUAAGCUGCGCGCUGAUUGAUGAACAACGAAGGCUGGUUAACCUAUUGGUCCCAUGUCCGACGUUGUAGAGCUCUUCAGGCAAACGAAGAUGUUCCUAAGCUUCGAGGCGUCGAUCUCGUUAUAAAAAUGAACCCGUGCACGAAGACAAGACAAGACAAGAAUUUCUGUGAACAGCCUAUUCACCGUCGCCGCCUUUUUCGAAUGGUCGGGUGUCUGGCGACGCCGAAGAAUCGAAUAAGUUUUUCCAAAUCACUCUUCACCGAAGAAUUCUGAAACCAUGAUAAAAAUCCACCAACACAGAUGAACCGUGACGUUAAACUGGAGGAGAGUCGAGAAUGGGUCUUCUCCGGGGGUCCAGAAAUACGGCGUCACGCCCAAAUUUAACUAGCCACAUAUCAAUACGCGACGAGAAGCGGAAUCGCCUCGCGAGCGUCAUCGAGAAGAAGAAGAGGAGAAGAAGAGAGAGAGUGAAGCCGGUGUGCGAUGUCGGCUUGAAAAAAGGAAAACGCACGAUAUCCCCGCGGUGGCGGAGGUUGCAGCCGGUGUUGCAGUUGGGGUGCACCGACGAAGGGGGAAGUGUGACGGUAGCCAAGUCCUCAUUAGCGCAUUCCGCUGCGACGCCCGCGACUCAAAGCGUCGUAAAAACGGCUGAGAUGUAGCGAGACAGAGGCAAAGGGGAAGGAAAAGGGAGAGGAGGUGCUCGCGAAUGGUACGGAGAGAGGGUCGUAGCCGCGGAAUCGAGUCGCUCAAACGCGUCCAACCCGCCUCCCCGAUUGGAAAAGGGACGAGGCGGAGGGUGGUGCAAGCUUCUCCUUCGCACUCGAACACUCGCUAUUCCGUUCUCGGGCCUGGGUCUAUUCCGAGAUGAAGCAAGCUCUGCUAGGAGAGCUUUCGUACCUACUGUAUUCGCUUCUACCAAUUCUCGAGGAUUAUUUAGUAAGGAAGCUUAUUUUCCCGGAUUCAAGAUGAAAUUAUAUAUACGGAGUGCCCCAAAAUAGAUUUUUCAUGCCAACGCUACUCGAAAGGACUCUGUCCACCACCCGUUCCUGAUGCUGUCUUAUGACGCCACAACAAGAAAUCCAAUAUCACAAGGGAGUGUUAAUUAAUGGCGUCUAAUAAAUUCUCCGCUCGAGUUACACGAUAUAAACAAAACAAACAUAGGUAAAGGAAGAAGAAUGCGGGCGAGUAAGAAGAGCGAGGAAGAAAGAAUUAAUUAACCACAGAUUAGACCGUGAACACCGUCUUCCCACGGAUAAAAAGUUUCACGUCGUCUGAGACUUCCUGGAUCGAGGUGGCGAGGAUCUCCGAGCCAGACGUACGAUCUCGUAACUAAAAGACGAACCGAAGAGAAAUCUGGGUGAUUUAUGGAGGGAGAGAAAAAGAAGAUACCCGGCACUGGUAAGUAAGUAGAAAGAGCUUCUCUCGGACGUGCUUCGUCACCGUGUUCUUUCGCGGUGGCUUAAAUUCAUGUAGCGUGAGAGUGUUUAUAAAUACGGGAAGCCGGGGAGGAUUUGUCAAGUUGCACGUUCUCGCUCGUUUCACUCGCCGGACCGAGGAAUAGA